rnacentral:miRNA from 1 species
UGAGAUUGUGUGUUUGUG